GACGAACGCUGGCGGCGCGCCUAACACAUGCAAGUCGAACGAGCGAGAGGAGGUUUACUUUCUCCAGCGAGUGGCGAACGGGUGAGUAACGCGUGAGGAACCUGCCUCAAAGAGGGGGACAACAGUUGGAAACGACUGCUAAUACCGCAUAAGCCCACGACCCGGCAUCGGGUAGAGGGAAAAGGAGCAAUCCGCUUUGAGAUGGCCUCGCGUCCGAUUAGCUAGUUGGUGAGGUAAUGGCCCACCAAGGCGACGAUCGGUAGCCGGACUGAGAGGUUGAACGGCCACAUUGGGACUGAGACACGGCCCAGACUCCUACGGGAGGCAGCAGUGGGGAAUAUUGCACAAUGGGGGAAACCCUGAUGCAGCGACGCCGCGUGGAGGAAGAAGGUCUUCGGAUUGUAAACUCCUGUUGUUGAGGAAGAUAAUGACGGUACUCAACAAGGAAGUGACGGCUAACUACGUG
rnacentral:rRNA from 1 species